GAAAUCGGAAGAGGCUAAACCUAGCGUGUGUGAUAGCCGGCAGGCGUUGCAUGUUGGGGGGUUGUGGGACUUUUUCGGAUUGUUCUGCCGAGCAGUCGACGUGACAAGAGGGUAUAGACGAACGGUUUUGAAUGGCCGGUCAUAGAGGGUGCGAACCCCGUAGUCGAAAUGCUUGUUCUUGGCGUGAAGAGUAUCCCAAGUAGCACGGGGGCCCGAGAAAUCCCGUGUGAAUCUGUCAGGACCACCUGAUAAGCCUAAAUACUCCCAGAUGACCGAUAGCGGACAAGUACCGUGAGGGAAAGGUGAAAAGUACCCCGGGAGGGGGAGUGAAAUAGUACCUGAAACCUUUGCUUACAAACCGUUGGAGCCUCCUUAGUAGGGGUGACAGCGUGCCUUUUGAAGAAUGAGCCUGCGAGUUAGCGAUACGUGGCGAGGUUAACCCGUGUGGGGGUAGCCGUAGCGAAAGCGAGUCUGAAUAGGGCGAUUCAGUCGCGUGUCCUAGACCCGAAGCGAAGUGAUCUAUCCAUGGCCAGGUUGAAGCGACGGUAAGACGUCGUGGAGGACCGAACCCACUUAGGUUGAAAACUGAGGGGAUGAGCUGUGGAUAGGGGGUGAAAGGCCAAUCAAACUUCGUGAUAGCUGGUUCUCUCCGAAAUGCAUUAGGUGCAGC
rnacentral:ncRNA from 1 species